CUCCAAUGAUACCUCAAUCUUUUCUUAUGUUUCUGACAAUGGUCCAUCAGCGUCAUUCAGCAGCACCAGUACGAUGACGUCAACACCGACCCAACCACAGACCUAACCACAGAGUAUGCCCAAUGCACCCUGGCACACUGGUAAGACAUGAUGUUCAGAGUGAAAGUUGUAAUUGUGCAUUUUCCUAACUUUUAAUUCACAGCAAACUGUGAACUCACUCAAAAUGCUUCUAUGUAGUUUGUUUGCAUAAUUAAAUCCAUAAUCAUAAUUGUACAUUGUCUGGAUAUACUGCUAUUUAAAUUUCAUUAUGUUUUGAGCUUAUCUUAAGUAUAUUGUGUUUAUUGAGUUUAUUUUAAUUUGUGCUUAUACUGUUCUUAUGUGUUACAUCUUUUCUUUAUUUACAUUAUGUUAGAUAAUAUAUAUAUAUCCACCUGUUUUUUGUACCAAUUGCUAAAAAAAAACACUAUUCUGUGGCCCAUACAAACCGUCCAGGUGAUAGGAGACGGUUUCAGCUGGAUUUGCGCACAGUCAUGGAGGAUAUGCGGGCAGCAGAGGAAAGGCAGCAG